CACGUAGGGCGCGAGCGUUGUCCGGAAUUAUUGGGCGUAAAGAGCUCGUAGGCGGCCUGUUGCGUCCGCUGUGAAAGCCCGGGGCUUAACCCCGGGUCUGCAGUGGAUACGGGCAGGCUAGAGGUAGGUAGGGGAGAAUGGAAUUCCCGGUGUAGCGGUGAAAUGCGCAGAUAUCAGGAGGAACACCAAUGGCGAAGGCAGCUCGCUGGGACGUGACUGACGCUGAGACGCGAAAGCGUGGGGAGCAAACAGG
rnacentral:rRNA from 1 species